UUAUUUCUUCAGCGCAGCCACCUUCCUUUCUCCUUUUUCUUCCGUUUGGUGAAAAACUGCCUGCUUAUUCCACACGUGGGCUUGAGUAGCUGAAAUGGCUGUGAGGAAAAUACAACACUGUUUUCUGGCCUCAUUUUAAAUUAUGAGCACAAACCUGGCAAUCCUACUGUAUUCCAAUAAUGAAUUCAUUGAUUCUAACUACUUUUCCCCCUUUUUCCUGUCCCCUCAAACUUCCAACAGCCUUGCCCUGUUUCUUGUCCACAAUUAAAAGCCUUGCCGCCUACUUCACUAAGAGAAUACUUGUACCUGAAAAAGAAUUUCUCCCUUCUUUGUCAGCAGAUUUACCCAUUCCUCAGUCUUUGUCCUCCCCAGGCUUAUGAUCCCACCCAUGGCCAGCUUCUCACCUACCAAAGGGCUUGAUUCCUAUAGUUUUCUCUCUUGAAUUAUUUUUUUUUCUAAUCAGCAUAUAACUGUGCUGUGACAUUUUCCUGCUCUAAAUAAAUCAGUCAGUAAAAAUCAACUCUUAACUCUCGCCCCCUCCCAAUUACUGUGCCCUUCUUCGGUUCUUCUCGACAACAAAUUUUCUCUAAAGGAUUUUGAAACAUGCUGUCUUCAUUUUGUUUCAACCACUACUGCACUCCAGGGAAGUCGCUUCUGCAGUGUGACCCUGAUAUUGCCAGAUCAGAUUCUGUUCUCAGUUCUCUGCGGACUUCACCUGUCAUCAUGUUUGGCACAGUUCAUCCUCAUCCACGGUCAAAGACUUUCUUCAUUUGUCUCUGAGAUCCUAAACUCACUCGGUUCGUCUUUUGCCCCAUUGCCCACUGUCUCAGUCUACUUUGUUGGAGCUCUCUUCACUUGAUGACCUUUAAAUAUCAGAACACUCCCAGCCUCAGUUCCCAAACCUCUUUUCUUUUUAUAUAUUCACACCGUAGGUGACUUUGUCCAGGCACAUGGCUUUAUAUCCCAUGUAUGUGCUGAUAUGUCCUAAACAUUUAUCUGCAGGCUUUACUCAUGUACACCUCUGCCUCUUUGUAUUCCCACUCAGAUGUCUAGGAGUAUCUCAAACUUAUAAUGUCCAAAAUAGAACACCUGAUCUUUUCCUCCUUCUAAGUUUGCUCCACCCCCACCUCUUACCUGACUGGCAUCACUGCCCACUGUUAUGCCAGGCCAGAACUCACAGUUAACCUUUGUCUCACCUUUCUCUCAUAUAUCACCUCUAGCCUAUCAGCAAACCUUUGCUAGUGCUACAUUCAAACUAUACCUAGAAUGCCAUCACUUUUUACCACCACUGUUACUGCCACCCUGGUCUGAGCCAUUGCCAUUUUCCACGUUGAUUAUUACAGCAUUGUCAUAACUCAUCUCUGUUUCCAUCCCUAGCCUCCAAAGAGUUUAGAAUGCUUUCAUUGAAAGUGGCAGAGAUAUCCCUGAAAAUUUUAGGCUAAAAAAGCGUGGCUUUUUAUUUUCUCUUCUGUAAAAGAAACCUAAAAGUACGCCGUGUAGGGACUGGCAUGGGGGUUGCACCAUAUCAUCAAGAAACCAGAGCCUUCUCAAUUUUUGUUCCACAUCAUUACCCUGACUUGCUUGAGCAUUACCUCAUGGUCCAAGAUGACCAUUGCAGUGCUGGGCAUUAUUGUUCCAGGGCCCAGAUGGGGAAGGUGGGUGCAGAGCUGGGCUAAAGGGCUUGCCAACCAGCAAAUCAUCUUUUUAUUAAAAAAAAAAAAAAAACCCUCAGUAGUAUCACCUUUAUGACUGCAAAAGAAGGUGAAAAAUGUUAUCUUUUAGCCAAAUCUAAUGCCCUGUAGAAUAGUAUCAGAAUUCUACUAGUAAAGAAGAAAGGGACAAUAGAAACAAGGUAGGCAACCAUCCAAGCCAAUUACAGCCUUGAGCCUUUUUUGCUGUUUCCACUUCCUGAAAUAUGCUCCUCCCAAAGGUCCAUCUGGCUGCUGCCUCAUUUUCUUUGGGAUCCUUGCUCGAGUGCUACUUCUUCCUUAGAGCGCCCCUCCCCCGCUGGCCUACAUGGAGUAGCCACUUCUUGCUCUCUGUCCUUUUAUCCGGUUUUCUGUGUAGUUGGGUUUUUGGGGUUUGGCUUUUUUUUUUUAAAUGAUUUUUGGGGUUUGUGUAGCCCUUGUGAAACAAAACAAAAAAACUGCAAAUCAUAGAACAGAAGCUUCAAGUGACCAGAAACGUUGCCCUUCACUGCUGUGUUUCCAGAAUUUAGAAGAUAUCUAGCUUAGUUGGUACUCAACAAAUAUUGGAUGGAAAGAAGAGUGAGGGAGAAAAGGAAGAAAGGGAAGCAGGGAGGGAGGAGAGGAAGAGGAAAAGAAAGAGGUGGGAAGUGUUUGACUAACAGGUGGUGUAUAUUACUACCUGUGUUAACUAAAAAGAGUUUGACUGGCAGGGGAAGUCCUAGAGCUGUGUUUCAGUUCUUCUAAACCCCACUGUCUUCCUCUCAGGCUGUUGCCCUAGGCGGUCAGAGCUGCCUGGUUAGAGCCGCAGAGACACAGAGGUGGCCGUCCUUCAAGCAGGGCAACUCAAAGAACUAGAUAUGCUCUACAUGCUACCUCUACUGAUGCUUUCAAUAAAAAGAAGUUUGAAUUUAGAAAACAUCAGUUGGUACAUACAAAUAAAAUAUCCCGAGUUAGUGCAAAAAUUGAAAAGAAAAAAUAUGGUCUGUUUUAUAGUAAUGUCAAAACUUUAAUUUCUCUUUAUUGUUUUUACUAUUUUUUUUUCCGCCUUGGGACUACCUCAGGCCAUUUCAUUGGUUUUUUUGCCCUGUCUUUUCCAGAGUAUACUCAGAUGUUAUUUAAAAGAAUGCUGUGAAAAAACUUGAGUCUUACCUCUUCAACUCACCCUGGGUCCAAAAUACCGGCUCACCUUGCCACCCACAUUGCCCAGACCUAUUUUUAUUUUCUUCAGGCUUGUGUCGUUUUUUUUCCUCUUCCAUUUCUACCUGUUCCACACUGUUAUCUCUUAUUCCUCUUCUCUAAACUACCCAUUUAAAAGUAAUAUACAUAAUACUUUCAUUCUGUCCCAAGCUGUUCCCAUUUCAUAGUCUUUCCCUUUGAGACAAUGAUCUAACUGUAUUUCUUUAAAAAACAGACUUCUUCCAUUGUGAAUAUUAAAGAUAUCGUUUUCUAAGAUUUGAAGGAUCUCACCCAUUAUAGUUUUCUAAGAUUUGAAGAAGGCUUCAUGUGUCUUGUGGGUUUUGUUUCACCUAAGUUUCUGUUACUUGGCAGCAGCCCUUUUCCCAAAAAAAUUGGCUUAGUAGACUGGCUGCUUUGGACUGUUUGUAAACAAAUAUAAAAGCAAUUAUUUAUAAAUACAAUAUAAGGAUCAUGUAUUCCAGCAACACCAAAUGACAUACAGCCACAUGUCCAAGUAUUUGCUUAGGGUUUUUCCUUUGACCUAAAAUGAACUUUAGCUGCCUUAUCUCGUCCCCCUUUUCUCUUUCCAAACACAUAAUCUAAAAUAUAUCCCUCUUGGUGAGGGGGGCGGAAAGCAAAUCUGCUUCCCACUGCCACCACCCACAUUAAAAAAUGUCUUAGGUGAUGCUGGGUAGCAUGACCAACCAUCCUAGAUUUGCCUUGGACUGAAAGGUUUUCCUGGUUACAGAACUUCCCAUACUAACAGAAAGUCCCAGGCAAAAUGUGAUGAGUUGGUAACCCUAAUCCUGGGUUACUUUGUCCAUACAUCUUUAUUAUUUAUAGUAUCUUGCUAAAAAUAUUUAUGUGCAUAUUUGUGUUCUUUAUUACACUGUAGAAUCCUCAAGUUCAGGGAUCACACCAUAUUUAUCUUUUACUCCCAAUAUCAGACAAAAUACCGGGCACAUGGAUGUGGCAUCAUAGAUGUUUAUUGGUUGAAUGGAUCAGUCAUUCACUAAUGACUGUAAAACACCGACUCGAUUAAAAAUACAGCAGAAGAAUCACUUGAACCCAGGAGGCGGAAGUUGCAGUGAGCCAAGAUCGCGCCGCUGCACUCCAGCCCGGGUGACAGGAUGAGACUCGGUCUCAGAAAAACCCACAAAUUUUUAAGUAAAUUUUUAUGAUCUAUGUACUAUUUUUAUGAUCUAUGUACUAUCUUGUGUUGUGUGCUUUAUUCUUACUAGUGCUUUGUAUACUUAUCCACAGAUCUAUUUUGUUGGAAUUAUCCUAAAACAUAUGUAUCUACAUUAAUUUUAUGUGUAUGUUAUUGAUUAUCCUCAGUAACUCAUCUUAUACUUCAGGUUAAGGCUCUGUUUUAGCUUAUUUCAGAAACUCACUGUACAAUUUGACUUAAUUUAAAUAGUUGAAAAAUUCGUCUUCUAGAUCUAAUUACUGCAAUCAUGACAGAUUGCCCCUUUUCUCUCAGAAUCUCCAGAUUGCCUUGAGCUUUCCUCUUUCUUCAUACUAAUUGGUUAACAUGUUUCAUCAGUUCCCGUUUGCUUGAUAGCUAGGUAACACAUCCAGUCUGUCAUAUCCUAACCCACUGCUCUAAUGAAGACCUAUAUCACCACUCACCUGAAUUAGUGCAGAUUGCCAACUCAUCUUCCAGUCUCUAGUCUCUGGCUGCUCUGGGCCAUCAUAGGACUGUAUCAGUUCUAAACAUCAAAAGCUAUCCCUUUGCUUAAAAUUUAGGAUAGCGCUUCAGGAUAAAGUCUAAAAUCAUAGCAUUAUCUUAAUAAUAAUGUGGCCCAAAAUUAUUUGGCCAUUUAUAUUUCUUAUCCCUCUUCCUUUAAUGAUAUCAAAGUUACCAACACUCCCCACACUGUUCUUCUCUCCCCUCUUGGAAUGCCUUUGUCUGUCUAGUGAGUUCUUUCUCAUAUCCUUGAGGCUUCUAAGGUCAGCUCCUAUGUGAAAUUUCCCAACUCCCCCAGGCAAAGUUAGGAAUCCUGUGCUUUGUAAUACCGUGGCACUGCAUGUUGCCAUAUCUCAUUACCCUGUAACUAUUUUCAUAUCUUCCUAGUAUUCAUCAGUAAAGAUGGACCAGCUAAAUUUUUUAGAGGGUAAUAUACAUUUUAGUUUUUAAUGGAUUUCUUGCAGAAAUUUGCCUUCUAUCAAAUUUCCUGGUUAACCAAAAGACAAGUGAAUGUAAUUUAAUCUAUCAGUGGUAAUUACAACUUGAAGUAAUAGCAAAUACAUUUCAAUAGUAUAUAAGGGGAGAAAUAUCCAAGAAAUUGCCUUCCCAAUGUUGGCAAUACUAGCAGUAUCAUAUGAAAGAAUUUUAGCCAGAAAUUUUAACCUUUAGUUCUUGCUUAAUCCAAUACAGCUUCCAGAUGCUGUUGUUUUAUUAUGGAGUAGUUACUCUAUUUCUUAUCAAAAUUUUUGGAGGUAUAAAUAUUAUUAAUAUUUAUAAUUUAUAAAUAUUUUUCAUGCCUUUAUUUCUGUAGCAUAACUAUAGUCAAUAUUAUAAUCAUAUUUUAGGAAAAUAAGUAUGUUGGACUCAAAUAAUUUGCAUAAUUUACUUGAAUUCACAUAGCUAAAGGACAAGACCAAUAAUUUGAAUUGUCUUUUUCUGGAACCAUAUUCUUAUUUUGCCCUUUUUGGUGAUGCUAAAAGGAGUGAUAAAAUCUCUCUCUGGACUCAAGAUUAUGUGUCAAGGGGACAAAUGAUAUUAUCAACCUGUAUUAUUUUGAUGUUCUGUAAUCGAGUAGAUACAAUGUUUCCAUAAGUUUUUUUUUUAUAAAAAUAAUAUUUUGCAUUUUGGUGCAAUAUAUGUAACACAAAAUUCAUCAUCUUCACCAUUUUUAAGUGUACAAUUCAGUGGCAUUAAAUGCAUUCACAUUGUUGUGUAAGUCA